rnacentral:lncRNA from 1 species
AAUCUAACUCAAUAAGAUAAUUGGGUUCUGAUAUGUCUCAUUUCAUAGUCAUACCACCCAAACUUCAAGAAAACUUAUUCAAUCCACUUCAAUCAUUGUUAUUCACACCACCAUAAGUCAUGGUCACUUUCAAUUGACUCUUGAACCUCUACUCAUUUUUUAUAAUAUGCAAGAUUCAUUGCUCUUGAUCCAAAGAUUGUUGCAUAAGAUUGGCCUCACACUUUUUUUCUAAAAAAGGAC